rnacentral:rRNA from 1 species
CCCUGCCAUUUGUACACACCGCCCGUCGCACCUACCGAUUGAAUGGUCCGGUGAAGCCUCCGGAUUGGACGUUCUGGCCCUGCCAGGCGGCCGAGAAGUUGGCUAAAUCUUACCAUUUAGAGGAAGGU